ensembl:lncRNA
ACUCUGCCGAAAACAACUGCUCGUUACUUAGAAAGAAAGAAAUGCAAAUACAACAUGUUACACGACUAAUCAUAAUGCUUAAAUAAAACUACAAACUGCCAUUAGCUGGCGACUUGUGUCUGUAUAACUGGUGCACGAGUCACAUAAUAGUGUCAGGUUUGAUUGUCUGAAGGCGGUUUGUUCUGCUGUCCCUGUUUUCUGUCACGAUAUCACCACCUGGUCCACUUCCACUGCACAACGUGAGAUCUCAGGAACACAUUUUAAACCAAAGAGUGAGGCCAAAUGAAAGGUCGACAUGAUUAAACCGGACACAAAUGGUUGAAAUGCGCUUAUUGUAAGUCGCUUUGGAUAAAAGCGUCAGCUAAAUGACAUGUAAUGUAAUUAUGUUUUUUCUCUCUUUGAUUUCAAUGUAUGCCAUUGACUUCUUUUUGUUUAAAUUAUUGCCGUGCCUCUUGUGAUGGCCUUCAAUCCUGGGACUUUACAUAGCAUGUAAAGUGCACAAUGUGGGACUCGUGUUAAGCCUGACGUUUGGACUGUCGGUGUUUGCACACAAGGAGCUCUGUGAAAUUUAAAAGACCAACGGAGUGAGUUACAGGUCCAACGGUCCAGGAAGACAUCAGUUUAGCUUGUUUUCGAUUAGAUUAUUUUCAUUAUCAAUGGUGAUUUCUUUCUUGAUUAAUUUUCAUAUCAUAUUCAUUUUAUGCUGGAGUUAAAACAUGUCAGAGCUUGCUGGGAGUAUAUUCUUUCUAUGAACUUAUGUCUGCUUUUCUUCCGUUGGUUUCCUUUGGUUACCUCUACUUGACUGCAGUCUUCCUCAGCGCUGCCUCAGGACUUUUCCACGCUCGCCUUGGUGUCCAUGGCCCUGAAGGUGGACCUCGCCGCAGAGCCACAUCAGCCGGGAAGGAUUGGGGGAUUCCUGUGGGCGACCGAGACGGCACCUGAGGUCACGUCCGAGACCUGGGGAGGGCCCGCAGUCGCCUCAUAGAUGAAUGGAGCCAAGAAAGAACACCACAGCAGGGGUCCUUUUCUGGACACCCGCCCCGGUUGGCACCUCACCCACCAGCUCCGUGGCAUCUGAGGACGAGGGAGGAGAAGAGACGGAGAGAGGCGAUGACUUUGUCAGCCAGAUGGAUGAGAAUGGCAUCAUUGGACUGUCGGAAGCACUGGGGGAAGUGGAGUUGGAGCCGCCUGGUUCCGAUUCAAACGUGUACGCUGGACCCGCCACCCUGCAGGAGGCGGAGCCUCGUGAGCGUGACAGGGAUACUCCUGAGGACCGGAGUUACAACGCGAGUCAUAACGAAUCCCAAGGGGGGGACGUACGAAUACCAUCAUCGUAUGAGGACCUGAUGGAUAGAGCCGAAGAGCAGGGGAUUGACUGCGUCCCACCGUGGGACAAAUACUUGGACAUGACGGAGGAGGAGAACAGCCCAGAGGAAGGGUGGACUCGGAGUGACGAGAAGAGAAAGGAAAAUAAACACCGGAGCGCUUCUAGAGAGCUUGGAGCCACAAACGGCUCGGCUGAGCGCUUUAUUUCCGAAGGAGAGAUUGAGGAGAUCGGCUGCACUCAAAAACGGAGUGCUCACCUGUCAGCCAUGGGACCUGCUUCUGUCUCCAACCAGCACCGCCCAACGGCCCAGCCUACCUCACCUGUCAUGGCCCCCACUUAUCGCCACCUCCUCCACUUCACGGACGAGGAAAUGGCUGCUGCUCCAGGGAUUGACGCUGAAACGCUUCCAGAGAUUCACAGCUUCACAGAAAGUCCUCCAGAAUCACUGAGCAGCCACGUGAGCCAGAGGUUCAGUCCUCGCUGUGCUGAGGCAACGCUCAGGGCUCCUUCUCAGCCAGCAGCAGCCACGUCACCUCUGGAAGGUGUAUCAACGCAAUACAGCCGAGUAGAUAAAGGACCUUUGAAGGCAUCGCAUACGUCCAGGAUCCCUCACAAACGGCCCACUCCCUCACCGAGGAAGAUGAGGCAGAAAUCUCCUGAACCUGCAUCUUCUAGAAAUGGUUCCCCGUUAACAUUCAAACAUCAGGCCGCAAGUCCUGACAAAGAGCAGGAGACACCAAGCGCCAGGACCCCUGCUGCUGCCAUGGAUGAAUCCAGAAAAGGGCCCCUGAGUUACCGCACACCCGAUUUCACCAAGGUGGAGCCCAGGGUCCGUUUCCCCAAACAGGGUUACCACCCCCCCCAGGAGCAGGCGCCCUUGCGAGAGGAAGUCCCUGUCGCCGGAGCCCAUCUUGGUGUUUAA